GAAAUGCGAUAAGUAAUGUGAAUUGCAGAAUUCAGUGAAUCAUCGAAUCUUUGAACGCACAUUGCGCCCGCCAGCACUCUGGCGGGCAUGCCUGUUCGAGCGUCAUUUCAACCCUCAGAACCCCUUGCGGGAUCUGGCGUUGGGGAUUGGCAUCCAGCCAGCCCCGAAAUCUAGUGGCGGUCCCUCCGCGACCUCCCCUGUGCAGUAGCGAUACCUCGCAGCGGGACAGCGGUCUGACCACGCCGUAAAACCCCCAACUUCUCAAGGUUGACCUCGAAUCAGGUAGGAAUGCCCGCUGAACUUAGGC
rnacentral:misc_RNA from 1 species